CAGUAGCCACGGUAAUACGGAGGAUCCGAGCGUUAUCCGGAAUUAUUGGGUUUAAAGGGUGCGUAGGCGGACAGAUAAGUCAGUGGUGAAAGACGGUGGCUCAACCAUCGCAGUGCCGUUGAUACUGUUUGUCUUGAAUAUGGAUGAGGUAGGCGGAAUGUGGCAAGUAGCGGUGAAAUGCAUAGAUAUGCCACAGAACACCGAUUGCGAAGGCAGCUUACCAAGGCAAUAUUGACGCUGAGGCACGAAAGCGUGGGGAUCGAACAGGAUUAGAUACCCCCGUAGUCCCUGUCUCUUAUAC
rnacentral:rRNA from 1 species